rnacentral:lncRNA from 1 species
UUCAAAUUAAUCAAUGGUUCAUGUUAAGCAAUCCACACUUAUCCUAGUUUAUCCAAUCAAAAUUUAGGAUUUAAUAGUAAAUAAUUAAUAAAUAAAAAAUAAUAAUUGUUGAGUGGCUGACACGUUACCACUCCUUAAUAAUACCUCUCUCUCUCUUCUUCCAACGGUAACAAAAAAUAAUAUUAAAAAAAGAAAAGAAAAAGUAAUAAGGUCUCCCAUCUCUCACUGGCGGCUUCAAGGGGACGAAAAAGAGAAAAUAAUAAAAGAAAAAGAGGUGGUCGUUUCCCUUCUUCCUUAAGACCCAUUUUUUCUCUCACACGGAACCUC